AGAGUCAUGCUGUGUCUGGUCAGAAAACAGGGUUGUCACAGUGGAAAAAGUUCCUGCCAAACACUACAGGGAGGAGUUCCCAUGAGUCCAGAUUACCUCAUUCUGUCCCACGCUGUGACAGCGGCAGGCAUGCCAUCACACCCUGGCGUCCUCCAUCUUCCUCAGGAUGUGAUUAUUAUUAGGAAGGCUGACGUCUCUAGGAUCAGACAGGCCUCCUGAAUAGCUGCGUCGACCGCUGGUUUCUUCCACUCUGCCUCUCUAUGUCCCACUUUCUCAGCCCAUCCGGUCAUAGCAGAUGGCUGUUCACCAUGAUUCUGGUUCUACUCAAGGUUUCUGCCAGUCAGUGGGAGUGUACGGUGUAGAUUAUCCUUAAAAAAAAUCCUGAGACCACUUGUCCAUUUGGAACUAUGUAAAUACAACUUAAAGAAGAAGUUUCUAAGUUGUGAUCUAGUUACUGAGGUUUUGCUGUGUUAUUUAUGCAAACUAUACUCAGCAUCUUUAAUCUCACGAGACUCUGACCUUUUACCUUUAACAAGAGUACAGUUAGCUUAGGUGGCUGUUCAGGUAGCAUUAGUUAGCUAAUAGGGAGGAAACAAAACCAUCUGAGAUCAGGAAGUGAUUCACAGUCUCCAGCUCAGAAAACACAUUUUGUGUACUUAAAAUUAAGAAAGGGAAACUUUUGACAAGUCUGCCUGUUCUCAUGCUUUGUAGAAAAGCAAUUAAAUCACCAAAUAAGAACCCAAUGACGGCACCUGUGCUACAAGCACUUUUCCGGGCCUUAUCUUUGCACAAUCUCUGAUUAUCACAACAUCUACAGCUAAUUUUGUUCCAAAGAUUUGCGACCUUACUGUGUCAUUUGGAGUGAUGGCUUGGUGACAUACGUAGUUCAUUCAUUAAAAUUAGUUAGUAUAUACCAAGCUAUCAGCAUUUCACAGAGCAUUACAGAAAUGUGUCUUAAAUGAUGAAUGAAGUUAAACAACAACUUGCAAAUGAAGAGCAAGUAGCAACAACAAUACCUCAAUGU